rnacentral:lncRNA from 1 species
CAGGUAGCGUUACUGGCGUCCAACCUUCCUACCGCGCUCGCCCAGAACGACUACGGACCGCCGUCAGAUGCCGUCAAAAUACAGGCUCCGAUCACCACGCAAAUCGACAACACUUUAGUGCGAAACACGUUACCGAACAUCGGCUUGGACGGAGCGCCACCUAUCGGGGAUGUUGGCGUCGCAACCUACCAGUGACGGCCGUAUCAAGUGCCGUGGCAUAAACUGGUACGUCGGGUGCAUUCUCCGUUAGAAAGUAUUCCGCCCGUACGGGCCACCUCAAGCAGCGCGGAGUCGCCACCGUCACCAUGGUUACCACGAGUGAUGCUGCCCGAAUCCGUCUCGAACAGUGUGGAGGCAAGAUU